AUCGAUGAAGAACGCAGCGAAAUGCGAUAAGUAAUGUGAAUUGCAGAAUUCAGUGAAUCAUCGAAUCUUUGAACGCACCUUGCGCUCCUUGGUAUUCCGAGGAGCAUGCCUGUUUGAGUGUCUUGAAGUCAUCAACCCCUUACGUUUCGUGCGGAUUGGGUUGGAUGUGGGGGCUCUGCUGCCGUGAGGCGGCUCCCCUCAAAUGCAUCGGUUGGGCCUGUGGGUCGAACUCGACUGGGCGUUGUACCAUCCUCGCUCGACAGAGACGUUCCCCUCUUGUGCCCUUCCCCGACCUGCCUCUCAGAGUGGCGGUCACAAGCAAAGCUUUGAAAUCUGACCUCAAAUCAGGUAGGACUACCCGCUGAACUUAAGCAUAUCAAUAAGCGGAGGAAAAGAAACUAACAAGGAUUCCCCUAGUAACUGCGAGUGAAGCGGGAAAAGCUCAAAUUUGAAAUCUGGCGGUCCCACCGUCCGAGUUGUAUUCUGGAGAAGCGUUUUCCGUGCCGGACCGUGUACAAGUGCCUUGGAACAGGACGUCAUAGAGGGUGAGAAUCCCGUCUUUGACACGGACCCCCGGUGCUAUGCGAUGCGCUCUCGAAGAGUCGAGUUGUUUGGGAAUGCAGCUCAAAAUGGGUGGUAAAUUCCAUCUAAAGCUAAAUAUUGGCGAGAGACCGAUAGCGAACAAGUACCGUGAGGGAAAGAUGAAAAGCACUUUGGAAAGAGAGUAAAACAGUACGUGAAAUUGUUGAAAGGGAAACGCUUGAAGUCAGUCGCGUCUGCCGGAACUCAGCCUUGCUUCUGCUUGGUGCACUUUCCGGCUUGACGGGCCAGCAUCGGUUUCGAGCGGCGGACACUGGCGAGGGGAAGGUGGCAGCUCCGGCUGUGUUAUAGCCCCUCGUCGCAAACGCCGCCCGGGACCGAGGAAUCCGGCGCAAGCCUGGGAUGCUGGCGUAAUGGCUUUAAACGACCCGUCUUGAAACACGG
rnacentral:rRNA from 1 species